AUACGGAGGGUGCAAGCGUUAAUCGGAAUUACUGGGCGUAAAGAGUACGUAGGCGGCCUACUAAGUCAGAUGUGAAAGCCCAGGGCUCAACCUUGGAACUGCAUUUGAAACUGGUAGACUAGAGUAUGGUAGAGGGGGGUAGAAUUUCUGGUGUAGCGGUGAAAUGCGUAGAUAUCAGAAGGAAUACCAGUGGCGAAGGCGGCCCCCUGGCCCAAUACUGACGCUGAGGUACGAAAGCGUGGGUAGCGAACGGGAUUAGAUACCCCAGUAGUCC
rnacentral:rRNA from 1 species